GGAGAAGUAGCUCAGAGGUAGAGCAAUUGACUGUUAAUCAGUAGGUCGUAGGUUCGAUUCCUAUCUUCUCCUCCA
rnacentral:tRNA from 1 species